CAGCAAUCUUACUGGCAAACUAUAUUGUUCAACAUUAUGAACCCCCAGAGUACAAUAAAUCCUAGGAAAGCCCUGGAAGGUGUGCAUGGGAUUCAUGUUGUGCCUCACUCGCCAUUUGCUUUGGAAGAUAUUACUCAACAAGGGGACUUCUCUCAAUCAAGCUGUGGAAGUCUAGUUAAUACAGAAAAUCAGCAGCUAUUACUGCAGAGAGUGUGGCAACAAAGACCAGGAUGUUUGAGGCCCAUCAAGUGCGGUAUUAAUGCUGAUUGGAAUCUUACAGAAAGAGUGG
rnacentral:misc_RNA from 1 species